rnacentral:tRNA from 1 species
CCUUUGGUAGUACAGCUGGUUGGGCAGAGAACUGUAGAUCCUUAGGUCGCCGGUUUGAGUCCGGCUCGAAGUA